rnacentral:pre_miRNA from 1 species
UCUUAUGGAUGAACAAAGAAAGUAGUUUCUUGAGAUGGGAUCUACUCCUGGUGAAGAUUGUUGAAAU